rnacentral:rRNA from 1 species
AUCCUGGCUCAGAGUGAACGCUGGCGGUAGGCCUAACACAUGCAAGUCGAACGGCAGCACAGGAGAGCUUGCUCUCUGGGUGGCGAGUGGCGGACGGGUGAGGAAUACAUCGGAAUCUACUCUGUCGUGGGGGAUAACGUAGGGAAACUUACGCUAAUACCGCAUACGACCUACGGGUGAAAGUGGGGGACCGCAAGGCCUCACGCGAUUGAAUGAGCCGAUGUCGGAUUAGCUAGUUGGCGGGGUAAAGGCCCACCAAGGCGACGAUCCGUAGCUGGUCUGAGAGGAUGAUCAGCCACACUGAAGCUGAGACACGGUCCAGAAUCCUACGGGAGGCAGCAGUGGGGAAUAUUGUACAAUGGCGCAAGCAUGAUCCAGCCAUACCGCGUGAGUGAAGAAGGCCCUCGGGUUGUAAAGCUCUUUUGUUGGUCAAGAAAUCC